rnacentral:lncRNA from 1 species
GAACCAUCUGAAACUGCCCCCAAGUUGCGUUCCCAGGGACCCUCCCCACUCCGUUUCCACUCGAGAACCAAAGAGCAGCUCACUUCGGCAUCCUGCAGAAGACAAACCCCAUCCAUUCAUUCAUCUGGUGGGUGAACAAGAAGGAAAAGAAGAAACAGAGGUGGGCCGCCAGGCGAAGCGAGAGCGAGAGUACAGUGCUGGAUGAAUGUAUUUUAAAUCUGGUGAAGGAAAAUCAACCUUAAGUCCUGGGCACUUCAGAACAAGUAAAUACAAUCAAUGCCUGAAGCCUGACGGCGCCAAAGCGACGAUCCACCCGGGGCAGGACCAACCCUCACACUUCUCCGCGCUUAGGUAAACGCGCCGCCGCCGCGCGCCGCUGGCGCUGGGAAGAUCUGGCAACUGUAGCGGUGUGGGACUGUCAUCAGAACAUUUCCAUGAUCUUGCUUGAAGCGGCUCUCGGCAGAGGGCUCCAGAAAUAGAACGGCUUGGCUUAGCUUGCCCAGGAACCUACUUGGUGCAGACAAACCAAGCUGGUCACAGGCAGGCACAAUGAGGGAGGAAGGAAUGGAUUAAAUCGAGGAGCGACUAUAUUCCCUUCUGC